GGGAAUUCGUCGGAGUUGGAGAGCCGAAGCAGACUGUAAAUCUGUUGUGUAAUAACUGAGUAGGUUCGAAUCCUACAAUUCCCA
rnacentral:tRNA from 1 species